rnacentral:rRNA from 1 species
GACGAACGCUGGCGGCGUGCUUAACACAUGCAAGUCGAACGGAAAGGCCCUGCUUUUGUGGGGUGCUCGAGUGGCGAACGGGUGAGUAACACGUGAGUAACCUGCCCUUGACUUUGGGAUAACUUCAGGAAACUGGGGCUAAUACCGGAUAGGAGCUCCUGCUGCAUGGUGGGGGUUGGAAAGUUUCGGCGGUUGGGGAUGGACUCGCGGCUUAUCAGCUUGUUGGUGGGGUAGUGGCUUACCAAGGCUUUGACGGGUAGCCGGCCUGAGAGGGUGACCGGCCACAUUGGGACUGAGAUACGGCCCAGACUCCUACGGGAGGCAGCAGUGGAGAAUAUUGCACAAUGGGCGGAAGCCUGAUGCAGCAACGCCGCGUGCGGGAUGACGGCCUUCGGGUUGUAAACCGCUUUCGCCUGUGACGAAGCGUGAGUGACGGUAAUGGGGAAAGAAGCACCGGCUAACUACGU